GUGUCAGCAGCCGCGGUAAGACGUAGGGGGCCAGCGUUGUUCGGAAUUACUGGGUGUAAAGGGUUCGUAGGCGGUGUGGCAAGUCGGGAGUGAAAUCUCUGGGCUCAACCCAGAGGCUGCUUCCGAAACUGCUGUGCUUGAGUGUGGGAGAGGCGCGUGGAAUUGCAGGUGUAGCGGUGAAAUGCGUAGAUAUCUGCAGGAACACCCGUGGCGAAAGCGGCGCGCUGGACCACUACUGACGCUGAAGAACGAAAGCUAGGGGAGCAAACAGGAUUAGAUACCCGCGUAGUCC
rnacentral:rRNA from 1 species